GACGAACGCUGGCGGCGUGCUUAACACAUGCAAGUCGAGCGGUAAGGCCCUUUCGGGGGUACACGAGCGGCGAACGGGUGAGUAACACGUGGGUGACCUGCCCUCAGCUCUGGGAUAAGCCUGGGAAACUGGGUCUAAUACUGGAUAUGACUCCACGGUGCAUGUCGUGGGGUGGAAAGCCUUGUGCGGCUGAGGAUGGGCCCGCGGCCUAUCAGCUUGUUGGUGGGGNGAUGGCCUACCAAGGCGACGACGGGUAGCCGGCCUGAGAGGGCGACCGGCCACACUGGGACUGAGACACGGCCCAGACUCCUACGGGAGGCAGCAGUGGGGAAUCUUGCGCAAUGGGCGAAAGCCUGACGCAGCGACGCCGCAUGAGGGAUGACGGCCU
rnacentral:rRNA from 1 species